rnacentral:rRNA from 1 species
AGAGUUUGAUCCUGGCUCAGAACGAACGCUGGCGGCGUGCCUAACACAUGCAAGUCGAACGGGGAUAAGUAGCUUGCUAUUUAUUCUAGUGGCGCACGGGUGAGUAACGCGUAGAUAAUCUGCCUUAGACUCUGGGAUAACAUCUCGAAAGGGGUGCUAAUACCGGAUAAGCCCACGGGGACGUGAGUUCUUGCGGGAAAAGGGGGCCUCUGCAUAUGCUCUUGAUCUAAGAUGAGUCUGCGUACCAUUAGCUUGUUGGUAGGGUAAUGGCCUACCAAGGCGACGAUGGUUAGCUGGUCUGAGAGGAUGAUCAGCCACACUGGGACUGAGACACGGCCCAGACUCCUACGGGAGGCAGCAGUGGGGAAUUUUGCGCAAUGGGGGAAACCCUGACGCAGCAACGCCGCGUGAGUGAUGAAGGCUUUCGGGUCGUAAAGCUCUGUCUAGAGGGAAGAAGUGAUAUUCGGUUAAUACCCGGGUUUCUUGACGGUACCUCUGAAGGAAGCACCGGCUAACUCCGUGCCAGCAGCCGCGGUAAUA